GAGCGGGCACUUUCGGGUGUCAGCGGCAGACGGGUGAGUAACACGUGGGAACGUACCCUUUGGUUCGGAAUAACGCUGGGAAACUAGCGCUAAUACCGGAUACGCCCUUUUGGGGAAAGGCUUGCUGCCGAAGGAUCGGCCCGCGUCUGAUUAGCUAGUUGGUGGGGUAAUGGCCUACCAAGGCGACGAUCAGUAGCUGGUCUGAGAGGAUGAUCAGCCACACUGGGACUGAGACACGGCCCAGACUCCUACGGGAGGCAGCAGUGGGGAAUAUUGGACAAUGGGCGCAAGCCUGAUCCAGCCAUGCCGCGUGAGUGAUGAAGGCCUUAGGGUUAUAAAGCUCUUUUGUCCGGGACGAUAAUGACGGUACCGGAAGAAUAAGCCCCGGCUAACUUCGUG
rnacentral:rRNA from 1 species